CAGCGAGAGAGACAGCGCGAGAGAGAGAGAGCGAGUGAGACAGAGAGAGAGAGAGAGCGAGUGAGACAGAGAGAGAGGUGUGUAAAACACCCUUCAAUUAUUCAUAUUGAAGGAUGAGGGGAAAGGAGGAGCAGGAAAAAGGAGUGUAACUACAAAUCAAGUCUAUCAUUUGUGUUUACAGUGUUUACAAACAAUUAAACCUUUAGUUUAUCAGCGACUAAUUGCUCUUUGUCUGCAUCCCAAAAUGGCCCUGGUUAAAAGUAGUGCACUAUAUAGGGAAUAGGGUGCCAUUUGGGGACUCCGGCUUUAUAUCUGGGACAUAACUGAUGUAAUUAACUAGAGAGAGUCCUAGCUACUUAUUGACUGUGAGUACAGUGGAGAAAGAGAGAGAGAGAGGGAGAGAGAGAGAGAGAGAGAGAGAGAGAGAGAGAGAGCAGAGAGAGAGAGCAAGGAGAGAGAGAGAGAGAGAGCAGAGAGAAAGAGAGAGAGCAGAGGGAGAGAGCAGAGGGAGGGAGAGAGAGAGAGAGAGAGAGAGAGAGAGAGAGAGAGAGACAGAGAGAGAGAGAGAGAGAGAGACACAGAGAGAGAGAGAGAUAGAGACAGAGAGAGAGAGAGAGACACAGAGAGAGAGAUAGAUAGAGACAGAGAGAGAGAGAGAGAGAGAGAGAGAGAGAGAGAGAGAGAGAGAGAGAGAGAGAGAGAGAGAGAGAGAGAGAGAGUAGUUGUUAAAGCUACAGUUCAUGAUUCUGACACCUGAGGUCAGCUGGAAAUACAAAACCAGAAAUGGAACCCAAUUCCAUUUAAAGUGCACUACUUUAGACCAGAACUCAUAAGGCCCCUAUUCAAAUGUAGUGCACCCUAUAAAGAAUAGGGUGCCAUUUGGGAUCCAGCCCAAAACCAGGCCAUCCACCCGUGAUGUUUUAGGAUGAAUCCAGGGGUAAACCAGGCCAUCCACCCGUGUUGUUUUAGGAUGAAUCCAGGGUAAAACCAGGCCAUCCACCCGUGUUGUUUUAGGAUGAAUCCAGGGUAAAACCAGGCCAUCCACCCGUGAUGUUUUAGGAUGAAAAGGUCAGGUGAAGAAGACGUGAUGGGAACUAACAGAAAUGUAAUGAAGAAGGUUUCAGUUUCUUAGAUUAGAUUAGAUACAACAAACUUUACAGCCAAUGUGUAAACUUGUCUACGGCUUCACUCAAAAGGAGCACCUCAUCCUCGAGAUCAUCAAAUAAACCGUACGAAGUACAAAAGAAGACAAAUAAGUUACAGUGUGAUCUCUUCCAGAUGUCCUGUAAUAGCAGUGUUAUUCUAACACCUUUCAGAGUCAAUUCAGUAGGGAUUCAGUAGGGAUUCAGUAGGGAUUCAGUAGGGAUUCAGUAGGGAUUCCGUAGGGAUUCAGUAGGGAUUCAGUAGGGAUCUUCUGUAGGGAUCUUCUGUAGGGAUCUUCUGUAGGGAUUCAGUUGGGAUCUUCUGUAGAGAUUCAGUAGGGAUUCAGUAGGGAUCUUCUGUAGGGAUUCAGUAGGGAUCUUCUGUAGGGAUUCAGUAGGGAUCUUCUGUAUGGAUCUUCUGUGGGGAUUCAGUAGGGAUUCAGUAGGGAUUUUCUGUAUGGAUUCAGUGGGGAUUCAGUAGGGUCUUCUGUAGGGAUUCAGUAGGGAUCUUCUGUAGGGAUUCAGUACGGAUCUUCUGUAGGGAUUCAGUAGGGAUCUUCUGUAGGGAUUCAGUAGGGAUCUUCAGUAGGGAUCUUCUGUAGGGAUUCAGUAAGGAUCUUCUGUAGGGAUUCAGUAGGGAUCUUCAGUAGGGAUCUUCUGUAGGGAUUCGGUAGGGAUCUUCUGCUGGACAAUAGGUCCAGAUAAACCCAUCUGUCAUCAGUACCGUUUUAUUGAAAUAGGAGUGCAGACAUUCUGUACAAUAACUCUUUAUUGAAACAUGAACUCAGUCUGUUCGCAGUAUAGAAGUGUCUCUGAGUCGUUCAGUAGGGAGCUGCUAUCCGCUGGCCAUAGGAGUCCACAUAACACUGGCAUAGGAAAAAGACACAUGUCCACUUUUAUCUUGAACGUAACAAAGUAAAAAGAGUUUGUCACUUAGUCUUAUGUCAGUGUGGUAAAAUGUGUCAUCAUGUCUCAGGAUUAAUCCCAAAAGGCCUCCCCAGCCUCAACCUUCCUCUAGAGACAUUAACUAAACAACAACAUUACAUCCCUGUGUGUUAAGUGAGCAACAAACUGACAAGUUGUAAAAAAACAAACUAUAAUAAAAACACUGCCACUUAAAACGUCCGCUCUGCAAAACAAAAAACAGAGCCUCUACGGUCUACUUUAGAGGCUAAUGCCUGUCCUAGCUCACCAAGGAAUAUACAAGUCAAACAGCGAGAGAGGAGAAGAAAAAAAGAGGAGGAGAGGAGUAGAGCAUCAUUCUAUCUGUGACAGCGAGGUAUUGAUUAGCAAAUUCAUCCCAAAUGGCACCCUAUUCCCUAUGUAGUGCACUACUUUAGACCAUAGAGCCCAAAUGCUCUAGUGCACUACACAGGGAAGAGGGUGCCAUUUUGGGAUGAAUUUGCUUUUAAUAUGGGCCCCUUUGUGUUCGUCAGCCCAGCUGAUACAGAAGAAAACCCUGUCCUCUGGAUAAGAACACUGGUGCAUUCAAAAAGUUCUCCAAUAGUCUCUCCUCAAUACCAAUGGAAUGGAGUUUUAAGUUGAUCGUUGGCAGUUACAGGUGUUGUUCAGAGGGGUUUGGGCCUGGACAUAACAGGGGCUGAAUGGACAACCCUGACUUGUUCCAGUAAGGGAACAUAGAAUCAAAUACUUCACUGGUUGAAAGACAAUGACGUUACAGGCAAGACAUUAAAUGUAAGACGGUAGAACAGACGACACCUGAAACCAGACAGGACAUUCACUGUAUAUAUUGUACAAAGGUAGUGUAAUAUAAGGUCUUCAACAUCAAACCUGAUAAGGGUAUGUAGUGUAAUACAAGGUACCUUCAUUGCUCUCCCCCAUCCUCUUCCCUCCUUCAGCCCACCACCCCAGACCCGCUAAUGAGG
rnacentral:lncRNA from 1 species